GCUAGCGUAGCUUAAUUAAAGCAUAACACUGAA
rnacentral:tRNA from 1 species